rnacentral:ncRNA from 1 species
CUAAACACGAUGAACAGAAAGAAGUAAGUAAUCAUUGAUCUCAAGAGAGGUGACGGGCGGUGGAAGUCACUGAUUGAUGUUUACUGAAAUGCCUCUGGGAGUGGUUUCGGCGAGUGAAAUAGACACAUCUCUUUGUGACGAAUUUCAGGUAGUCGAGAACGUGUAAGCUUACGUUAACAGCUAGAGGUAAUCAUAUCUGAUUAUAAAUAAAAGUGGAACCACGCCAAUUAGCGUCUUUUAA